rnacentral:lncRNA from 1 species
UUUUACUCUGUGUCCCCAAAGUAAAACCUAAAUUAAAAAAAAAAAAGAGUAUUGAAAGGCUCUAUGUUUACUCCAAGGCCAACAAAUGGUUAGUUGAUUAGUUUGUUUAGCUAUUAAUAUUUUUUCAAGUAUGUUCAGAGUAAUUUUAGAUACAUACUUAUUAUACUUAACUGCAAAUUAUCCUCCCUAGCACUGGGUUUGUUAUUUUUCCAAAUCAUUUCCUCUCUGGUGGGCUGCUGUGGUUGUCACCUUAAGGAAGUCCCUGAAAGCUUGAUCAAAGGAGGAUACUUUGAAAAAAAAAAAUCAAUAAAAUAAAGCUUAAUCACUGGUCCCAUUGUUCUCGUUAUUCUUGUCAACCUUCCAGAUUUCACCAGGGGACAAUUAUUAAUAGCAAACCAUCUUCCUGGAGAAUAUAAAACACAAAUCUUCCUUUAAGACAUUUCUGCUCUUUAAAAAUUCGAGCAUGAAGUGAGAGCAAAGUCUGGCAGAAAUGACUGGAAUAAAUCUCGAACUUUUUCUUAGAAUAGAUUUAAAUUAUAUUUGGGUACCAUUGGUAAUGGCAGUGUUCAUUUUAAUACGUACACCUCUCACUUCCUUUGUAACAUUUUGCAGUGUUUACAUAAUUACAACCGGGUUUUCAGAGCCAUCCCUCAGGAAAGACUUGUGUCAUAUUUUAACAUGUGUCUAACCCCAAAUCCUAAACACACAAGGACUACAUUUAGAAAGGGAGGGAAUUGUGUGCACCCUCAACGGGUGCCAGGGUGGCAUCCACAGACUGUAAAGUAUAUCAUUCACUUCCAAUUUGUAAACAACAGAAGUCAUCAGAAUUUUGGAAGCAUUCCUUUGCCCUGUUAUGUCCCGGGUCCAGCCAAGGGUUGCGUUCGUAAUGAACUCAACCUCCUCAGCAACCCUUUAACUAGCCUCUCCUGGCGGGGUCUUCUCUUGGCGUAGCCAGGUCGUGCCAAUCCUUUCCCACAAGGGUGGCUGUGGAGGGUAGGUGGUGUCAAGUCUUCCACUUCACUCGAGAAGCCUCUCCCUCAUCGACACCCCUCUGCCAUCUUUUCCCCUCUUGAACAAGUGACCAUGCCUUGUGCAAACAGCUGUACCUGCCUCUCUGCUAGCUCUCAGUUUGUCUCAACGUAACAUUUAACUCAUCUUGCUAAGGACGUGUACAUGUGUGUUUGUCUUGGUUGCCCAAGACGAUGUUAGCGUCUUGAACACCUGACCUCUUUGCAUUCCCUGCAGUUUUUGGUUUAGGUGUUCAACGACUAACUGUUCAUUUUACUCUUUCUGGUGUUACUUGGAUCAGCUCUCUUUUACCAUCAGUUUUUAUUAUUGCAUGUUUAAGGUACUUCUAUGAAAAACGCAUUUGGGGCCUCCUACAGGGUCAAAUGCUUCCCUUUGGGAGUAGCCCUUGUGAGCCUUCUGAGGACAGCCGCAGAGAGUUUUGUAACCUUAAGGAACUGGAUUUCACUGUUUUCCCACCUUGGUUUGGAAUACCGCUUCCUGACUGCUGAGGGCAAAGCCAGUAAAGAGUGGUUGUUUUCAUAAGACAUUUUCACUCUAAGUGGCACUUCUCAAAAACACCACGAUUCUAUGAUUUGGGGUUCUCAUAUUUAUUUUAAGUUACUGUUUGGGAAAAGGUCCAUAUGGCAGGAAUGCAAACGAAGUCUUUCAAGAUAAACGUUGGCCAUGGUUGGAGGAAUUACGACCACGCUGCAAAUAGUGUUCCCUCUUCUCCAAUCUAUUUUUUGGUGUCCUUUUCUUUUAUAUUUUAUAAAAAAGUUGUUUGCAAAAGUGGACCUGGAUGAGAACGUUAUAGAACUUGACCCUCAGCUCUGUGCUUGGUGUUACAGGUGGUAGAAGAAUCGCUUCGUGAGCAGCCCCCACGUAGGGUUGGCACAUGGCUAAUAAGACAAGAUUUAUGAGCACGUAAAGUUAUGAAAUGAAAUAAGGGUAUAAAAUUAUAGAAGCUAAUUAGGUGCACAGUGAGCAAAAUACAAGUAUUCUCUUUACGGGCACACCUCCUUUUUCUCCAAAUUUCUCGAAGGAAUUCAAGGAGUGACUUGUAAGACUAAGGGUUACUAACGCUUACUCUGUACCGUGUGCUGAACAAAGGGCUUUGGGGGCGUUAUUUACAGACUCCCCCGCAACAGUCUUUCUAGGUGAGUGACUAUUGUCAUCUCUGUCUAAAAGGCGAGCACACCGACGCCUCCAGAAGCCGAACUGCUUGUUCAGCAUCGCUUGGCUCUUAUCUCUGACUCGGACUCAACGCCCACAGCUGCUCUCAGCCUCUAUUCUUUGUUCUUCAAGCUGCAGGUCGCAGUGCACGAUGGUGUCCUGAGGCCAAUGUGAUGGAUGACCACAUUGUAAUUUUAAGGAGGAAAAUAAAAAUGACCAGAGUACCUCCCACAUUAAUACUGCUUUGUGAGACUUUGGCACUUGUGUGUUUGUAAGUGGCCUGAGUCAUGGGGUGAAACGUAAUGCUUACUUUGUGCUGGAGGCAAAAAAGUUUGCCAAGUACAGCCACACGGGCACUGCCUCCCAGAGAAAUCGUAAUCAGGCCGAUGGAGAGGAUGGAAUCGGGGAUUUAUAGGGUUGUGGUUGAUGAAUGAAGAGGUCGAGGACCAGAAGUAAGGCAGGGCUGCUUCUUAAAAUGGGAAAUACAUGGAACUGGGGAUUCAGUUUGGCUUCACUGAGUGACAGCAAGAUGCAAAGUACCGCCCUAAAGGCUACAGUGAGUCAUUUAGGCUGGAUGGUGGGUAGGGUGUGUGUUUCCCUCCUUCAGAGCUGCCUCCAAAUCAUUCAAGGGUAUUUUGUACAACUUUGAACACCUCUCUGUAUGGAUGCCACCAGGCCAGGGACGUUCAAAGACGGAAUGUCAGGGUAUCUACAAAGGAAACGAGCCUUCUCAGCAUUUUCUUGUCCUUAGGAAGGGGCUGUGCCCUGAUGCUGUAGGUGAUUCUUCAGAGAUCUAGCUGCAAAGUCAGCGUCCUUCUUGGGAAAUGGGGUGACGUCUACCUUGUUCCAGGUACCAGCCUGCCAUACUAGGACCCUCCAAAUGAAUAGUCAUACAGUCCAACUCCCACCGUUAGGGAUAUACUCAAAAUCACUCAUUGUAUCGGGGAAGGCUGAUGGCCCCGUUCUAAAGAAGGAGGAUGCUGGAGUUCCUGCCGUGGCGCAGUGGGGUCGUUGGCGUCUUGGGAGCACUGGGACGCAGGUUCGAUCCCCAGCCUGGCACAGUGAGUAAAGGGUCUGGCACUGCCACAGCUGAUCCCUGGCCAGGGAACUCCAUAUGAAAAGGUAUGAGGAUGUUUGGUAAAUGGAUUACAUGACAAAUACCAAGUUAUAGACAUCUCAGAAAUAGCACCAGACCCUAAAGGUUAGAAAGGCAUAGGGAUACUGCAUUAAAUUAGGAACACAGAUGUUCCAGUUCAUUUAAAAAAGAAAGACUUACCAGGGACAAAUCCCUGGACCCCCUGAAUCAGUUACAUAAAUUAAAGGCGCAAACAUGGCUGGAAUUCAAUGCAGACAAGCGCUUUCUUCCUACCUUUAAAAAAUGUGGUAGGACUACUUAACAUGAGAUCUAGCCUUUUAACCCAUUUUUAAAUGUAUGUUACAGAGUUGAUAACUAUAGGUUGUAUACCCAGCUCCCAUCCUGUGUGCCUGAAACUGUACACCCAUCAAAAAUCAACCCCUCGCUUCUCCCUCCUCUGGCCCCUGGCAACCAGCAGUCUCCUCUGCUUCUAGGGGGUUUUUGAGGCUAUUUGUUUCUGCCUUUAGGUUGGCAUGUGAGUGUCGGUAGAGGAAUGAGAGACACAAGAGAGGAAAAGGAGGGCUAUGACGGUCAAGGGCAGGCAGGCACUUCCCACAUGUAGUUUGGAAAUAUUCCAACUUGUGCUGUUAAAAAUAAAUAAUGCUUUUUAAAAUUUCUUUUUCCCAGUUGUGCACUGUCUGAUGUGAGCAUGACCUGGUCAGCAAGUUCUAUUUUCAGUGUGACUGGAAAAUCCUUUACCUCAUGCUCCCUUUGGGGAAAUUUCAAUCCUUACUGUUCUAACUUCUUCCUUCACUAAUUUGCCCUCUUCUCCUCUGUCUGAGAUGCUUCAUGGAAAGUUCAACUCAUUUCUCUAAGAGUUUCCUCUUCAGGGUCAUUCUAAAAUUUCAUCGUUGUCAUAUACAUUUUAUUUUAGCAAUUGCUAUUGCCCUGACAAUAAAUAUUGUUCUCUAGGCUUACCCUAGUUGUAAAGUGAUAUAGCUGGUCCAGCCUCAAUUCAAAUGGUUAUUUCCCUGAAAUUCCAUGCUCACAUAGCCAAGAUCAUGUAUUUUAAAAACAUUAUGUAGAAAGUUUAUAAGAAAAGUAGUAUUGAAGAAUUUGUUUUACAAACAUUGGGUAGCAAGUUUAUAAGAAACUAGUAUGUGAGCAAAUUGUGGCAUAUAAAUUCAACUAUUUAAGUACAAAAAUUAGCACAGCGACAGAAGACUUCUGUGGAAGUGGAAAGAAUACCUGAUAUCUUAAAAAUUGAUUUUAUGAUAUCCCCACUUUCUCUUAUACUAUGAAAUAGUUAGUAUCAAUUCAAGUUUGCUUUGUUUUGAAAAUUUUUCAAGAAUUCCAGAAAGUAUUUUGAAAUGCUUUAAGGAAAUCUGUGAUGUACUAGAAAUGGGCAGAGAAAUUAAUGGACUAGAAAUAUAGUAACCUCAUUCCAACACUCUCACCAUUUGUAUAUACCAGAUUUGAGUAACAUCGUAAAUUAUCCUCUCCCAGAAUAAUUAGGAAAGUGCAUCCAGGCUAAGAUUACACUUGAAAUUGGCCUGGUUUGAGCCUGGUGGGCAUAUUUAUAUACAGCUUUUGCAGAUUCUUCUCCAUUAUGAUAUAUAGUUGAGCUCUAGUCCAUAUGCAAUCAGUUCCAUGCCUGGUGCUAAAAUAAGGAAUACAGGAGUUCCAGGAGUUCCCGUCGUAGCUCAGCGGUAACAAACCCAACUAGUAUCUGUGAGGAUGCAGGUUCAGUCCCUGGCCUCCUUCAGUGGGUUAAGGAUCUGAUGUUGCUGUGGCUGUGGCUGUGGCCAGCAGCUGCAGCUCUGAUUGGACCCCUAGCCUGGAAACUUCCAUAUGCUAUGAGUGCAGCCCUAAAAAGCAAAAAAAAA